UGAACUGUGGUGUGGACGGUAGUGCGGA
rnacentral:sRNA from 1 species